UACAGGGGGGGCAAGCGUUGUUCGGAAUUACUGGGCGUAAAGGGCCAGUAGGCGGCCAACUAAGUCACACGUGAAAUCCCCAGGCUUAACCUGGGAACUGCGUGUGAUACUGGAUGGCUUGAAUUCGGGAGAGGGAUGCAGAAUUCCCGGUGUAGCGGUGAAAUGCGCAGAUAUCAGGAGGAACACCGGUGGCGAAGGCGGGUCUCUGGGCCGAUACUGACGCUGAGGAGCGAAAGCGUGGGGAGCGAACAGG
rnacentral:rRNA from 1 species